rnacentral:tRNA from 1 species
GGGAAUAUAGUUAAUAAUAACAUUUAAUUUGCAAUUAAAAAGUAUUGAUUCAUCAAUUUUUCUC